rnacentral:rRNA from 1 species
GUGGGGAAUUUUGCGCAAUGGGCGAAAGCCUGACGCAGCGACGCCGCGUGGGUGAUGAAGGCCUUCGGGUUGUAAAGCCCUGUGGGGAGGGAAGAAUAACGGGCGGCGAAUAGUCGUCCGGAUGACGGUACCUCCUUAGCAAGCACCGGCUAACUCUGUGCCAGCAGCCGCGGUAAGACAGAGGGUGCAAACGUUGUUCGGAGUUACUGGGCGUAAAGCGCGUGUAGGCGGCCGUGCAAGUCGGGUGUGAAAGCCCUCGGCUCAACCGAGGAAGUGCACCCGAAACUGCAUGGCUGGAGUCCCGGAGAGGAUGGUGGAAUUCUCGGUGUAGAGGUGAAAUUCGUAGAUAUCGAGAGGAACACCGGUGGCGAAGGCGGCCAUCUGGACGGUGACUGACGCUGAGACGCGAAAGCAUGGGGAGCAAACAGGAUUAGAUACCCCGGUAGUCC